CAAUAGCGUAUAUUAAAGUUGUUGCGGUUAAAAAGCUCGUAGUUGGAUUUCUGCUGAGAACGACCGGUCCGCCCUCUGGGUGUGUAUCUGGCUCUUUCUUGGCAUCUUCUUGGUGAACGUUGCUGCACUUGACUGUGUGGAGCGCUACCCAGGACUUUUACUUUGAGGAAAUUAGAGUGUUUCAAGCAGGCAUACGCCUUGAAUACAUUAGCAUGGAAUAAUAAGAUAGGACCUCGGUUCUAUUUUGUUGGUUUCUAGAGCUGAGGUAAUGAUUACUAGGGAUAGUUGGGGGCAUUCGUAUUUAACUGUCAGAGGUGAAAUUCUUGGAUUUGUUAAAGACGGACUACUGCGAANGNAUUUGCNAAGGAUGUUUNCAUUG
rnacentral:rRNA from 1 species